CAGCAGCCGCGGGAAUACGAAGGGUGCAAGCGUUAAUCGGAAUUACUGGGCGUAAAGCGUGCGUAGGCGGUUUGUUAAGUCUGUUGUGAAAUCCCCGGGCUCAACCUGGGAAUGGCAAUGGAUACUGGCAGGCUAGAGUGUGUCAGAGGAUGGUGGAAUUCCCGGUGUAGCGGUGAAAUGCGUAGAGAUCGGGAGGAACAUCAGUGGCGAAGGCGGCCAUCUGGGACAACACUGACGCUGAGGCACGAAAGCGUGGGGAGCAAACAGGAUUAGAUACCCCGGUAGUCCCUGUCUCUUAUAC
rnacentral:rRNA from 1 species